rnacentral:rRNA from 1 species
UACAGAGGUCUCAAGCGUUGUUCGGAUUCAUUGGGCGUAAAGGGUGCGUAGGCGGCGCGGUAAGUCGGGUGUGAAAUCUUGGAGCUUAACUCCGAAACUGCAUUCGAUACUGCCGUGCUUGAGGACUGGAGAGGAGACUGGAAUUUACGGUGUAGCGGUGGAAUGCGUAGAUAUCUGGAGGAACACCGGUGGCGAAGGCGGCAUCCUGGACCGGUAUUGACGCUGAGGCGCGAAAGCCAGGGGAGCAAACGGG